GACGAACGCUGGCGGCGUGCUUAACACAUGCAAGUCGAACGGUAAGGCCCUGCUUUUGGGGGGUGCUCGAGUGGCGAACGGGUGAGUAACACGUGAGUAACCUGCCCUUGACUUUGGGAUAACUUCAGGUAACUGGGGUUAAUACCGGAUAGUAGCUCCUGCUGCAUGGUGGGGGUUGGAAAGGUUCGUCGGUUGGGGAUGGACUCGCGGCUUAUCAGCUUGUUGGUGGGGUAGUGGCUUACCAAGGCUUUGACGGGUAGCCGGCCUGAGAGGGUGACCGGCCACAUUGGGCCUGAGAUAGGGCCCAGACUCCUACGGGAGGCAGCAGGGGGGAAUAUUGCACAAUGGGCGGAAGCCUGAGGCAGCAACGCCGCGGGCGGGAUGAAGGCCUUCGGGUUGUAAACCGCUUUCGCCUGUGACGAAGCGUGAGUGACGGUAAUGGGUAAAGAAGCACCGGCUAACUACGUG
rnacentral:rRNA from 1 species